rnacentral:tRNA from 1 species
GCGUCCGUGGCGAAACUAGGUAAACGCAGUGGAUUUGUAAUCCACCAUCCCCUCGGAUUUGCGGGUUCAAGUCCCGUCGGACGCA